rnacentral:lncRNA from 1 species
ACACCUGAAGAUCUGCACGUUCGAUGGCAUAGUCAUGUCCAGAGUUAGCACCUGGACACAGAGAGACUGGGAAUGGGUGGAUGAAAUAACACCUGGAGAAAGUAAACCAGCCAACAUUCAGUCGGAAGAAGUAACUCCUAAAACCGCAGAGGAAUCCCAGACCCCCUUGGAAUGUGUGAAUACAGCUCUGGAUUUUGGAGACUAUUCCUAGAAACGAGCAGCCGGAGAUGGAUAUGUCCCUAAAUAAUAAAGUGUUGGAUAUUCUCAGCAAGGAUCCCCAAACUCCCGUAGCUUGCCAAGUAGAAACUAAACAGUCACAAACAAAUUUUGACAUGGUCACAAGGACAGCCGGCUCAGAGUUGUCAGAGGAGAUGCUGGAGAGCGAGUUGGACACUGUUCCCUGUGAAUACUGUCAGCAGCCUAGCAAACCCUCUGUGACCACAGACCAGCUGGUGAACAAUAUGGACCCAGAUGAGCUGUUCUGUUGUGAGGUGGCCUGGAGGAUGGAGGAGUUUCUGAUGGAGCAGGAGGAGGCAAUCCAGGAGAAGAUGGACGUGGGCCCCCACCCGCCGCCACACUGAGGCAGUGAAGGAGUGGGCGGCACAAAUGUCACAAGUGUUUCCUGUUGUCACUUUAAGAAGAUCCCAGUAUUUCACUAUGAUCGAUUUACUGUGACUUUGAUCACACUGCUCAUCGUCAAUGCAAAUCAUAGGUGGAUUCCUAAUGUACAGCUGUUCCUGUGACUCAGAAUUCAGGUUGAAAGAAUGGGAGAGUCAACGGUUUGAGAACGAUGGUUAGAUUUGCUUGUUCUCAACUAAAAAAGGCACAGUGGGGAGAACAAAUAUGUAUGAUUUUUAAGUAAAUAUUUUGCAUUUUGUUUUAGAUUCCGUCUCCCAUCAGUUGAAGUGUACCUAUGAUAAACAUUACAGACCUCUACAUGCUUUGUAAGUAGGAAAACCUGCAAAUUCGGCAGUGUAUCAAAUACUUGUUCUCCCCCACUGUAUGUCUACUCACACGGUCCACCCAACACUUCAUAAAAAUGUAUUGAAUCAUUGUUUAAG